UACGGGGGGAGCAAGCGUUGUUCGGAAUUACUGGGCGUAAAGGGCGCGUAGGCGGCCUGACAAGUAGGUGGUGAAAUCCCUGGGCUUAACUCAGGGUCUGCCAUCUAAACUGUCGAGCUGGAGUGUGGGAGAGGAGAGUGGAAUUCCUGGUGUAGCGGUGAAAUGCGUAGAUAUCAGGAGGAACACCGGUGGCGAAGGCGGCUCUCUGGACCACAACUGACGCUGAGGCGCGAAAGCUAGGGGAG
rnacentral:rRNA from 1 species